rnacentral:rRNA from 1 species
UACGUAGGGACCAAGCGUUGUUCGGAUUUACUGGGCGUAAAGGGCGCGUAGGCGGCUUAACAAGUCACUUGUGAAAUCUCCGGGCUUAACUCGGAACGGCCAAGUGAAACUGUCAAGCUAGAGUGCAGAAGGGGCAAUCGGAAUUCUUGGUGUAGCGGUGAAAUGCGUAGAUAUCAAGAGGAACACCGAUGGCGAAGGCAGGUCUCUGGGCAUUAACUGACGCUGAGGAGCGAAAGCAUGGGGAGCGAACAGG